CAGUGAAACUGCGAAUGGCUCAUUAAAUCAGUUAUGGUUCAUUUGAUCGUACAGUUUACUUGGAUAACUGUGGUAAUUCUAGAGCUAAUACAUGCGAGAAGCGCCGACCUCGCGGGAGGCGUGCAUUUAUCAGACCAAAAACCGGCCGCGUCUUCGGGCGCGUUCGCCUUGGUGAACUUUGCGGAUCGCACGGUCUAGCACCGGCGACGGAUCAUUCAAGUGUCUGCCCUAUCAACUUUCGUCGGUACGGUAUUUGCCUACCGAGGUUCUUACGGGUGACGGGGAAUCAGGGUUCGAUUCCGGAGAGGGAGCCUGAGAAACGGCUACCACAUCCAAGGAAGGCAGCAGGCGCGCAAAUUACCCAUUCCCGACGCGGGGAGGUAGUGACGAAAAAUAACAAUGCAGGACUCGUUCGAGGCCCUGUAAUUGGAAUGAGUACACUUUAAAAGCUUUAACGAGUAUCCAUUGGAGGGCAAGUCUGGUGCCAGCAGCCGCGGUAAUUCCAGCUCCAAAAGUAUAUAUUUAAGUUGUUGCGGUUAAAAAGCUCGUAGUUGGAUUUUGGGCGCAGGCGGCCGGUCCGUCGCAAGGCGUGUACUGGACGUCCUGGCCUUCCCUCCGGUUCUCCGCCGGUGCUCUUGACUGAGUGUCGGCGGCGGCCGGAACGUUUACUUUGAAAAAAUUAGAGUGUUCAAAGCAGGCUCUCGAGCCUGGAUAAUGGUGCAUGGAAUAAUGGAAUAGGACCUCGGUUCUAUUUUGUUGGUUUUCGGAGCGCGAGGUAAUGAUUAAGAGGGACAGACGGGGGCAUGAAU
rnacentral:ncRNA from 1 species